rnacentral:rRNA from 1 species
CUAAUACAUGCAAGUCGAGCGCGACUGAUUACACCGUCCUUUUGGACACCGUAAUCAUCGAGCGGCGGACGGGUGAGUAACACGUGGGCAACCUACCCUUAAGACUGGGAUAACCGCGGGAAACCGUGGCUAAUACCGGAUAAUACUUUUAUACAUCAGUAUAGGAGUUGAAAGGUGGAUUUCUAUCACUUAAGGAUGGGCCUGCGGCGCAUUAGCUCGUUGGUAAGGUAAUGGCUUACCAAGGCGACGAUGCGUAGCCGACCUGAGAGGGUGAUCGGCCACACUGGGACUGAGACACGGCCCAGACUCCUACGGGAGGCAGCAGUAGGGAAUCUUCCGCAGUGGACGAAAGUCUGACGGAGCAAUGCCGCGUGAGUGAUGAAGGCCUUAGGGUCGUAAAACUCUGUUGUUAGGGAAGAAUAGGUAUCGGAGUAAUAUGCCGGUACUUUGACGGUACCUUACCAGAAAGCCCCGGCUAACUACGUGCCAGCAGCCGCGGUAAUACGUAGGGGGCGAGCGUUGUCCGGAAUUAUUGGGCGUAAAGGGCGCGCAGGCGGUUUCUUAAGUCUGAUGUGAAAUCUCGUGGCUUAACCACGAGCGGUCGUUGGAAACUGGGAACCUUGAGUACAGAAGAGGAGAGUGGAAUUCCACGUGUAGCGGUGAAAUGCGUAGAGAUGUGGAGGAACACCGGUGGCGAAGGCGAC